GCCGCAACUUUAAAGCCACUGAAGUGUACUUCAAUAUGAAAUUGGUCUUUCUUUGAAAUUAAUGAACAAGUUUCAUUUUCUUUUUAAAAAUGGAUUGAACCAGCAAGUUCAUUUACAUAUGAAUUUUAUUUUGAAGUAAACAAGGAAAUGUGGAAAUACUUUCGUGAAUUAAGUCAUUACAUUUGAAACAAGAGUGUAAAAGUCAUUUCAAUAUUUCAUUCAUUCCAUUGUAUUUCGUAGAAUCCUAAAUGUAUUUGUUCAAUAUUUAAAUAUCAAAUGUAGAUUAAAACUUAAAUUUGGUUUUCUUUUUCUGUGAAUUAACUAGUAUCCAAACAGGGUGCAGUAUGUGUGGCUUGAUUAGUAACAUUUUUGGUUGUAAACCUUGUUUAAAUGUAGGUAUUCAAAGAGGCUGAUACAGGCUGUUGAGGAUGAUGGAUUGGUGAACCAUGCUUUGGUGCGGGAUCUAGAUGAAGAUGCAAAGCGGUUGGAACAGUUUGGUGCUGAACUUGAAGUUGAUUGAGUGUGUAGUAAUCAUAUAAAUUUAAAUGGUGUUCAGCUUAGAUUUAAAUGAUACAGCAAUUCAUAAGCUUAUAUAGCUUUAUGAAAUUUGUAAGGUUUUUCCGUAGUUUAAAGUUACACUCUUUUAAUUCAUAAAUUUUUAAGAAAAGGUUUACUGAACCCUUUUUUUUGUUUCUAUUUUAUCCAAAAAAAAUGUGAGAAAAUAUUUUGAACUUUUAAAUGGAGCAAAUUGAAGAACUUUAUUGCAAUUUGGGUAGAAUAAUGAACCUAUUAUUUCUUGAGAGCAACAAGUUAUAUAUUUUUUUAAUUUUAAAUUUACAGUGCGUGUAAAGAGACUUUUUUAAUUUAUGUUUUUACAUGAUGCAUUGCUCUUCGCAUUUUAGCAUUGCUUCUUCUUCGC
rnacentral:lncRNA from 1 species